AAAGUUCAAAGAAACACUAACAAUUUAUUGAUUUCUUAUAUUCCCCCCCCAAAAAAAACCAAACAAACAAACAAAACACAUGCACAUACAGGAAAGCAUAUACGUGGUGUAUCAUACAGGGAAACUGAGCUUGACCAGCCCGAGAUUCUUACACAAACAUGACGGAAGGGGAUGGGCUAGAGGGCAUCUCUCAGAUUCCUUGCAGCAUCCUGGGCUUCCCUCCCUGCUUAUCCCGGAGCCCCAUCACCCAUCUCUCAGCCAGCAAAGAGUAUCCUGUCGCUGGGGUCCCCAGAGAACUGUGGGAUGGAGCCCUGCUGGAGAAGCCACUGGUGGUCAGUGACUCUUAAGCACAGGACUCCCCGGACUCAAGGCGGGCAUGGGAUUGGUGUCCUUCCUCAUUUGUCCCCAAACCAGAACUUCCUGUUUUGAGUGUUGACCCUUGUAGCAUGAGGCCAAUGUGCACUUAAGAUACUAGGGUGUGCAUCAGAUACACAAAGCCCAGUGAAGGCCUUUCUCUAAGAGUUGCAUCCUCAAGCCCUCCCCUCUUGUUCUUCCCAAGUAACAGGCAUGCUCAGAGGCCCAGGCGAACAGCCCACCUGGCCAGCUUGAGAGAGCAUCAGAGAGGUUGCUUAACUGUUCAUGCCAGGCCCCUGAGGUUGGAGUAGCUGCCUCAUUCGCAAAGCAGAGGGAUGGGCCCACCUGAUUCCUCAUUCUGGGGAGACGGAAACUGAACCAAGAGGUGGCAGGAAGCCCGGCCCAUGCUGGGGGGCAGGGCACCCCCCUGGGCUUAUAAAAUUCAUGUGUAGCGAUUUAUUACCCUCUUGUUCUGGCUGGACUGCAGUCCUCUGUAAUUGGAGGAUUCUAAAUCCAAGGGCCUCAUGUCAUACCUCCCUUCAACCCCAGGACAGCAUAAUCCAGGACAGGGUCAAGGGCUGUUUUGUUCUCGAAAUUAUUCCAAGUGCUUAGAACCCUCUGCCUGGCACAGAGCGGGUGCCCCAUAAACGUUUUAAGAAAUGGAUCAUUCUGGGUCCUGAGGAGUGGCAGAGAUAGCCUGAAACCUACUCUUGGGAUGGGCUGGUGGAACAGGCUCUCAGGGGGCCCCUGGGAAGGAAGGAGAGCCAGGAGCAGGCCUUUCAGCACGGGUCAAAACAAGGGAGGUGCACUUGUGGGGACACUCCCCCUUCCCGCUCUAUUUGAAUUCCCUUUCUCCAGUCUCCCGGGACACCAGACUCUCCCUCACUUCUCUCUUGGCAGGCUUGGUGGGAAAUACCUGUUAGUAAUAUCCAAUAUGCCUCUCCCAUCCCAUUGGAAGCUGGAGUAGGCAGAUGCCCGGCUCUAGCCUCUGCCUAUUCCUCUCUCCACAGGGAAGAUAAGAUCAAACAGCCAUUCCCUGAACAGCCUUUGGCUCCAAGCACCAUUUUUGCCUUCUUUCUCCUGCAAUAAGCACAUCACAGGCUUCCUGAAAGCAGGGCUUGCAGCUUGAAGCUGCUCUGUGUGUACAGCCCUGGAGGAUGACAAAUCCUAUCUCUUUGGUGUCUGCUCCCCAGUGUCCUUACACAGCUAAGGAAGCACCUUCUGCCUCCAGUGUCCCAUCCCCUGCCCAACCCUAGGGAAGAGCAGUAUUGUCAGACACAUAGGAUUGUCCUGUGUGAUACACUGAACUUCCCAGCCUGCAGCAGCUUCUUAAGGGGGAGGUCAGCCCCAGCCACACCCCUGGGAGAUGGCAGCAGGAAGGCUGCAGGACUCUUCUGUGUACUGACACCAGCCUGGCACAACCCACUCCCAGAUCUAUGGGCAACUAACCCCAAAGCACAUGUUGCCCUUGCCUACAAGGGAGAGACACAGAGUCCUCUGUACUGCCUUACAAGUUGCAAUGAAAGGGCACACCUACCGAUCUUUCUGCAGCUUGUGGUAAUGCUGUUAGGCACUCAAGCACACAAUACAUGCACACACACGUGACCGCACACUCACAUUAUACACACACACAUGUAUACACACACACGCGCGCACACACACACACGUAUCAUUUCUCAGAGGAGGAAGUGUUGACAUCAGAUAUAAGAGUCCCUUUAACUCAAGAAAGCCCCUCUCCCCCCAGGCCGGGGAUUUAGCUCAGUGCUUUCACUGCCUGCUGUGCAAGCGCAAGGACCCAAGUUCGAUCCCCGGUACCAAAAAAAAAAAAAAAAAAAAAGAAAGAGAGGGCCCCCCACCUCCCCAAUCCCCAUUGCCUGCUAGUUCCCCCAAGGAAAAAAAACGAACCUAAAAAUAUUUCCACCCUCCACAGUUUCCAGGUUUGCUCUCAGAUGCAUUUGAAACUUUCCAAAUACUGCACAAGAUGGACAGAAAAAUCCAUCCAGCGAGGCCUGAGGUCUUCUCAACUGGGUCAUAGCCUUCUGGAAAAAGAGCAAUCCUCAAGUUAGCAUGGGGUACGAUGGUUCUGUCCCAGUAAGAGCAGCACAGACUGCCACCCCCUGCCACCUGCAUCUGUCCUUGGGUGUGCUCUGACCUGAGAGUGGAUUCAGAGCCACCCUUGACCAGUUCCUGUCGGUUUAGGAACCCACCGGCUCGCUGGUUGGCUGUGGCCUGCCG
rnacentral:lncRNA from 1 species